ACCUCUCUGUGCGUCGGUUUCCAUAUCUGCCCAGUGGCUUCCCUUUCAGCUCUGUCAGGGACCAAGACAGGAGUGUCCAGACAUUUCAGCUACAGAUCUCUCUGUGGAGCAGUUUCAGGGGAAACCUGAAACUUGGGGCAUCCUUUCAACAAGUGUGCUGGCCUUUUGAUGUGUGUCAGGGAUCUCAGGGCUGUGGGUUUGCAGCCUAAACAACAGACAUGGUCAUUGCUAUCAUGUAGCUUACAAUCUGCUGGAGGAGACUGGACAAAGAGAAAGGGGUAAUGACCCCAGAGCUGGUCCCCAUCUCCCCAGCCCUGCCUCGCCCCCAGUGGUCAGCCCUCCAGUGGGGAGCAGAGCACCAGGGGGAAGACACCUGCUGGGGCCACGUGCCUUACUAAUGAGAUUUCCCAACCACGUAUCUAGUAGAGUGUAUUCCAUGUUUAAAGUAUCAAAUAAAGUCCAGUGAGGAAAGUCUAGUGACGUUGCUAUUGUUUGAUCCCUGUCUUACACUUGAGGACACUGAAGCUCAAGAAGGGCAAAGACUCUCCAUGUAGGAAGGGCGGGAAGGUUCACUUCCUGUGUUGGGGGUGGCUGCUCCAUUGGAGCCUGUCUUCUUGCUGUGGCACUGAUAGCCACUAGCCAUUUAAAGUUAAAAUUUAGCAUUUCAGUGUUUGGCCACACCACAUUUCAAGUACUCAGUAGCCACAGGUGGCCAGUGGCUGCUGUAUCAGAUAGUGCAGAUACAGAACAUUUCCAACAUCAUGGAGAAUUCUAUUAGUGCUGCUCUAAAACAGAGGUCACCAAACCUCUGCCACAUCUGGCCCACUGCCUGUUUUUAUAAGUAAAGUUUUAUUGUGCCACAUCCAUGCUUAUUCAUUUACAUACUGCCUAUGUCUGCUUUUUGCAGAAAGUUCUACUGGACAGCACUGCUCUAGAGCUAAGUUUAGCAAACUCCACCCAUGGGCCAAAUCUGGACCACUGCCUAUUUUUAUAAAGUUUUAUUGAAACACAAACCCAUGUAUUCAUUUACAUAUUGCCUAAGGCCGCUCUCUGAACUAUAGCAGCAGAGGUGAGUGAUUGUGACAAAGAUCGUCUGGCCCACAAAGCUUAAAAUAUUUACUGUCUUGCCCUUCAUAGAAAGUUUGCCGACCCUUUCUUUAGAGAAGGUCUUACGGCACAAUUUGACAAUUAUUGAUCUAAAACUCAUUCUCAAAGUGUGGUUUCUGAACCAAUAGCAUCAGCAUCACCUGGGAACGUGUUAGAAAUACAAGUUCUUGGGUCCCACCCCAGGCCUGCUGAAUCAGAAACGCUGGAGGUGGGGCCUGGGCUCUCAUUUCACCAGCCUUCCAGGUGAUUCUGAUGCAUGUUCAAGGUGGAAACCACUGUCCCAAAACACAGAGCAAACGCCAACAAGUGACUGGUACGGUGAAGGUGCGAAUGGGCUCCUGUGGGUAACAAGAGUUUGGAAAGAUGCCAAGAGAGUGAUAGCCCAUCUGCUGCCUGGUCCCUCGGCAGCAAAACCUUUGACAGACGGUCCACAGAGGCCGCGCCAACCAGGGGAGGACCCUGUACCAGCCACUGGCGCCAUGCUCAGGCCCCACUGCCGUCGGCCCCGCCCUCCCACGGAGUUGUCAGCACAUUUGGAGCUGCCUCCACACAUAAAUUCAUGGACCAGCUGUCUCUUUUAAUCUGGUUGCAAGAUGAAACCAUUAAUAGAUGUCAGACACAUUGGCAAUGAUCUCUUCAUUAAUAAUUUCCUACUUUCUGAGGAAAAAGAAAUUAGUAACAAGCAACCAUCAAUAAUUCAAAAAUACAAGUUAACCUUUCUAUUAGCAGAGUGACUGUGCACACGCCGCAGACGCUUUCAGAGCCAGUAGUUCUGGUUUGAGUAAUGUUUUGAUGGCAGGAAUAUUAAUAUGCAUUAAUGCUGUCAAGAUGUGCAAAUAUAAAUAACCCAAAUGCAACUUAGAAAUCUUAAGUAUUUUCAGGUUUAACCUCAUGAUCCAACCAUUUUUUCUGUUUAAAAAAAAAAGCAUGUAGUAUCCAGUAAUAUCACUCCGUUCAAAAGGAGGACUUCAUAAUGGAAUCCAUUUCCAGUUUGAGGUCCUUGUGGUUAGAAAGAUUUCCCUGAAGCUUUACCGAUACUGCCGAUCAGUAAUUUCUCCCUCCAAAGUUCUGCCUCCUGGGGAAGUAAGAGCCGGGAUGCCCUUCCAGGUAACCUUCGUCUGGAGAUUGGGUGUGCUCCAGGUAAGCGUUCUCAAUUUCUUAAAACCCUUCGCAUUCCUCUUCUGAUAGAUUUUCAGGCCCAUGGCACCUGGUUCCUCUUCUCAGCCAUGCUCCAUUUUGAUAAUGUCCCUCUUCCGGGGAGGACUUGCACCUGCCUGCAUUCUCCACACCUCCAUUUACCACCCAAGUGACCACACACUCGUCACUUUCCCUCUCCAAAUGUGUUUCCCCAUCUGUGAAAUUGGGUGAUUAUUCCCACCUCGCUGAGCUGAGUGAGAAUUAAGUGAGUUAAUGGAUGUGAACACGCCUAGUACAGGGCCAGCCCACUCAGUAGUCCAUUUCCCUUCCUUUCUUCCCACUUCCAAGUCUUAAAUUCACCAGAGCACCCCAGCUUUGACUCUAGGCCAACUGUCAUAGACACCUGGACAACAGCAUGGCACGGGAGGCCAGCUGCUGCUUCCUUGGGCCAAAAUACCAGCACAUGGUCCAGAUUGUUGCCAAGUAGACCUCAGUGUCUGAGGUGCCCCGGAUUUAAUGCCAGCACUGCAUCUCACCCAAGUGGCAUCUGCCAAACAGCUGUUUCUGGUAAUUUUUUUAAAAAGCUAAGUGAUGUGUGGCAGGUACCCAUCACAAGUGUUUUCACUUCUGACUGACACCUGGCCUCAUUGCCGGGUAGUGGGGAUGUUAAGAUAAAGUGAUCCCAUCUGCAAGGCGCCCACAGUCCGCCCACACUGAGAGGUCACCCAAGCACACUGGGGACAGGGUGGUGUUAGAGUCAGGGGUUGAAUAAUGGAUGUCAAACAUGAUUGAGAUAUGGCCCCAAGCUUUACUUCUUGCUUCCAGCAAAGCGGCUUCUCUGAUGAAGCAGGCGAAAAGCCACCAUUCUUGCAACAGCUUGGUGCCCUGGAGUUGAGCACAUGCCUUUUCAGAGCACUGAGAUCCCCGCAAGACCUUCAGCCCUGGCCAGGUGCGGUGGCUCAUGCCUGUAAUCCCAGCACGUUAGGAGGCUGAGGCAGGUGGAUCACCUGAGGUCAGGAGAUCUAGACCAUUGUGGCCAACAUGGUGAAACCCCGUCUCUAGUAAAAAUCCAAAAAUUAGCUGGGGGUGGUGGCACGUGCCUGUAGUCCCAGCUACUCAGGAGGCUGAGGCAUGAGAGUUGCUUGAAUCAGGGAGUCAGAGGUUGCAGUGAGCCGAGAUCGCACCACUGCACUCCAGCCUGGUGGCAGAGCAAGACUCCAUCUCAAAAAAAAAAAAAGGCCUUCAGCCUUUCUCCUGGUCCCUGACUCCCAACUCAGAUUCCAGAAUGUCUGUGAACCUGUUGCUUCUCCCCACCCCCGCUGCAGCAACCUUAGCUCUGACUUAGCUUCUUAUUGCCUGAAGUCUUGUCCCUCCCAACCGCUCCCCACACACAGCAACCAGAGUGGUUGUUCAAGAAGACAGUCACUCCACAACCUGUUGCUCACCAGCUUAAAACCCUUCACUAAUGCCCCCACUGCCCUCAGCAUGAAGUCCACAAUCCUUACCAUAACCAACAAGACUCUCCACUGGCUGGGCCCAGCCUGCCGUUUUUUGUUUGUUUGGAGACAGAGUCUUGCUCUUUCUUUCACCCAGGCUGGAGUGCAGUGGUGUGAUCUCCGCUCACUGCAACCUCCACCUCCCGGGUUCAAGCAAUUCUCGUGCCUCACCCUCCCAAGUAGCUGGGAUUAUAGGUGUGUGCCACCACGCCUGGCUAAUUUUUGUAUUUUUAGUAGAGAUGGGGUUUUGCCAUGUUGCCCAGGCUAGUCUUGAACUCCUGGCCUCAAACAAUCCCCCCACCUCAGCGUCCCAAAGUGCUGGGAUUACAGGUGUGACCACCACGCUCGGCCCAGCCUGCCUUUCUAAGCCUAUCCCCUCCCUAACUCACCUUGGACCACCCCUCACCAAAGGGAAGUCUUCCCAGGUAGAGAAGAAAAGAAGGGCAUUCCAGGUGGCUGGAACAGCCUAGGCAAGUACUCAGAGAUCUGAAAGAGUCUGCAAGUUCAAAGAGGCAAAGCUGAGACCUAAGCGCAAUGCUCUCUGUUCUCUCAUUUCAUUUCCUGCCCGCUCCAUUUACCCUGUGCUCCAAGCCGCACACGACAACUGUCCAUUACCUCCCUCUGGGCCUCUGCCCAUGUAGUUUCUUCUCUCUGGAAUGCCAAAAUCAAAAGCAGCAUCCUUCCUUAUCCAGGCAUCUAAAUCUUUAUCCUUCAAGGCUCAGCAUUGGGCAGGAUCUGUGGGCUGGACUGUAGUGGGCUGGAUGAAGAAUUAGUGAAUUCCAUCCUUAUUGGAACCAUCUGCAGAUCCGCCUUCUCCACCAGGGUGACAGCAUUGAGGGAUGCCACUACUGUCUUACACACCCUCACGUCCCCAAAGCCAACCCAGCAUGGCAUACAGCAAGCACUCAAUACAUACGGGUUAAGACUAGGGCCAAAUUUGCCUACCAGGGCCAUGUACAUUCUGCAUGAGCUAUUAUCAAACAGAAGGGACAGUGACCCAUUUAUCAAGAUCUAUGGGGAAAUCAACUCAUGAGCAAGACCCCAGCAAGGCUCUCGGGUGUGCAGGAUGAGAUGAUGGGGUGGUGCUUCCCCACUGUGUCUGGUCCUGAGAACCACCAGGAACUCUGUUAAUAACUCACGUUCCCCAGACUGAUAAACCCAGUGCUUCAGGGAAGAGCCUGGACAUCUGUCCUUUUUAUCAGACUGAAUCUCACAAAAGGUCAUAACUUGGUGAUUCUGUCCAGGCCAAUGCAGAACCUGUCCUCUGGUCAGACUGCCAGAAGCACCUGGCCUGGGGGCUCAAAGUAGUAACAGGGCUGUCCACGGCAGGAAGAAACCACGGUAAAGUCCCCAGAGGCUUUAGUGGCCUGUCUGCCCAUGGCACUGAGCCUCUUCUAGUGAGGCCCGAGUCCCAGGCACAGCAGAUGCCAACCUCUGAGAAAGAAAAGGCACCAAGAGACUUGAAGCAGAAAUGAUACAGAAAGAACGCCUCAUGUUUAUAGAAACUUCUGCAAACUUUCUUCAGACCUCUGGUUUACAGAGUUGGCUUAAUUAGAAUUCUUGGUUCUUAAUAUACUUUCAUGAUGUUUUCCUGCAUAGCCCUCUCUUAUUAAUAUUAUUAGGUUUGCUACUUUGUGUUAUGGCAUGUAAUUGUUAUUUUAUUUUCAUUAUCUUAUUAUAUUUUGAUAAGCGCCUAGAGAUCUUCCAUAACAACCACUCCCUGAUAGUAACAGAGUUCUGCUCACUACACUUCAUCCCUGCAAUGAUGUACAAAGAAAAUUUGGGCUGGCAAGAGGACCUUCAGGAGAGACCCCAGAGCCCGUUUGUUCCUGGAUUUCUGCUGCAGUGGUUCUCAACCCCUCUGCGUAUGAGAACCACCUGGGACCCCACCCUCAGCCACUGAUUUGAGUAGGCCCCAAGCAACAGUAUUUUUAAAUCUUCCCCAAUUAUUUCUACCAAGAACACUGCAAGGACUCCUCAGAGUUCUCCCCACCCCCAGGCAGGUGACAUAUAAAUCAUCUAAGAAGUUUUUGGGGGAACAGCUACACAGAGCUCUACCCACCUGUCCUUAGAACCUAAUAUACUUUCCUAAAGAUGCCCCCCCACUUGCUCACCUUAGGGGAUCCCUGCACAUGGGACCCAUGCUACUGAAGAGGGUGUGCUGGGCAAGUGGCCGACAUACUUCUCAAUGUGGGGGCCGGGACCACACCUGCACCAGAACCGGGCUGUUUGUUAAUUAUGCAUGGAGCUGAAUCAGCAUUUCUGGAGGUUGAGGCUCAGGAAUUUGCAUUUCUAACAGGCACCCCAGGUGAUUCUCAGGCACACAGGAGUUUGUGAAUGGCUGAUGCAGUGUUAGGGACAAGGAAAGUUGAGAGCCUCCAGGCACAACUCCAGGGCUGCCAGGCCAGGCAAGACUCUUCUUCUUAUGAAUGACGGACACCCAACUCAAACAAGCUUAAGUGAAGAGAGGAACCCAGUGGCUUACUUAGCUGAGCACUUCAUGAGCACCUUCAGGCAAAGCUGGAUCUAGCUCCUGGACUUUUUAAAAUUCCUGGAAUUGUGUCUCUCUAUCAUGGGGCUGGUACUAUUACCAUAUGUUUCAGAAAACAGCAUCUGUGUACGAAGCAUUUUAUUAUACAACACAGAAAUACAUUUCACCCCAAAUGAUAGCAGUGAACCUCAGCCCACAGAAUCUCCUUCUCGCCUUCAUGAAACAGAGCUGGGAUGAUGGCAGAGGACU